ACCGGGGAGGAGCCAGGAGAGCUCGGAGCAGUGAGAUUGCCCACUCCACCUCCACUCAAACUGGAAAGAAAGGAAAGAAAACUUCACAGUCCACACAGAGCUGAGGCCCAGGACUGGAUCAGACCCAACGAAUGAAGAUAUUAGCAUAUCUAAAGAAAGAAUGUCCGGCUGAAGGAGGGCCUGGGUCAGCCAGGGAAGGGAGGAAUGGGGAGUCUCUGAGGAUAAUAAUGCUGGUCUGGCCAUCCAAGUCCAGGACCAGUUCUGGACCAAGGGCUCAUCCCACCCACCUGGAGGCAGGUGCUCCUCUGUCCUGUAGGUGACACAUCAAGCUUUUCCCUGAGCUGUCCAAGGCAGAGGCUGGUCCUUCCUUCCAACUCCCCGCCAACCAAUCACCCUUCUAAAGACCAUCUGCUUUUCAUGGAGGCGCCCACAGGGUGGGAAGUCCAGGGUGAGGGGUGGGAGUGCUUGGUGCAAUUAUAUUGCUCAUUGUCACUUCAUAAAUUGCUCUUUUGGUUUGGUUGGUGUCCAUCCACCCUUCCUCCCAAAGCAGAAAGUCUCAACCUAGGACAAAACCCUAGACUGAGGUGGUUUCGGGAGGAUGAUGCCACCCCAGUGAAGCCCAAAACAGCCAGAAUGGCCUUCCCCAUCUGUCUCUCUUCUGGCUUCAGAAAGAGGGAGCACACAGACUGCCUCACAUGGACCUGUCCAUGCCCAAGCAAUGGAGCCUUGUGCUCACACUGACCCUACAGACAGGUCUUUGGCAACAGGCUUAGAAAGGCACUGUACUGGGGGGUGCAAGUAGACCCAGAGUUUUCUUUCAUCAGAAUAUUCUGAGGGAAAUCCACUCCACCACUCCUAGACUUUGAAAAACAUCUCAUGUUAAGAGAAUUAUCCUCUCAGUUGUGGGCAGCAAUCUGUGUGCUGUGUCCUUGCAUCCAGUCAUAAUUGUAACCACCUCUCUCUAUGGGGUCAGCUGUUUUUAUGUACGCGGACUCUGAGAAAAUUAGUUCCUUCCUUCGGUAGGAAAACGCAUUCUUUACUUAAAAUAAACUUGAUAUUUAUUUUACCCUAAA